GGCUGAACAGCUUUGCCAAGAAUCCUAAUGAGAACCAGAUUGCACAGUUCAGCAUCCUUGGCAGCUGGUAAAGUUGGGACAUGGAGAGGUCGCUCCUGGAGGCCCCGGAGGAGCCUAUGCCAAAAACCAGCUCUGCCGUCUCGAGAGUGAUAUCUGGGAGUCCCCUUCCUGGCCUAAGGAUUCCUGAAUGAGGAGGGAAAUCACAUGCUCCCUGUGGUACCA